rnacentral:rRNA from 1 species
GACGAACGCUGGCGGCGUGCUUAACACAUGCAAGUCGAGCGGAAAGGCCCCUUCGGGGGUACUCGAGCGGCGAACGGGUGAGUGACACGUGAGUAAUCUGCCCCUGGCUCUGGGAUAGCCACCGGAAACGGUGAUUAAUACCGGAUACGACCACUUCUCGCAUGGGAUGGUGGUGGAAAGUUUUUCGGCCAGGGAUGUGCUCGCGGCCUAUCAGCUUGAUGGUGAGGUAAUGGCUCACCAUGGCUUCGACGGGUAGCCGGCCUGAGAGGGUGACCGGUCACACUGGGACUGAGACACGGCCCAGACUCCUACGGGAGGCAGCAGUGGGGAAUAUUGGACAAUGGGCGGAAGCCUGAUCCAGCAACGCCGCGUGAGGGAUGACGGCCUUCGGGUUGUAAACCUCUUUCAGCAGGGACGAAGCGCAAGUGACGGUACCUGCAGAAGAAGCACCGGCCAACUACGUGCCAGCAGCCGCCGUAAUAC